rnacentral:rRNA from 1 species
GAUGAACGCUAGCGAUAGGCUUAACACAUGCAAGUCGAGGGGCAGCAUGGUCUUAGCUUGCUAAGACUGAUGGCGACCGGCGCACGGGUGCGUAACGCGUAUGCAACUUGCCUCACAGAGGGGGAUAACCCGUCGAAAGACGGACUAAUACCGCGUACACUCUAUUUUGGGCAUCCAAGGUAGAGGAAAUGAAAUUCGCUGUGAGAUAGGCAUGCGUCCCAUUAGCUAGUUGGUGAGGUAACGGCUCACCAAGGCGACGAUGGGUAGGGGAACUGAGAGGUUGAACCCCCACACUGGUACUGAGACACGGACCAGACUCCUACGGGAGGCAGCAGUGAGGAAUAUUGGUCAAGGGGCGAGGGCCUGAACCAGCCAAGUCGCGUGAAGGAUGACUGUCUUAUGGAUUGUAAACUUCUUUUGUAGGGGAAUAAAGAGGGGCACGUGUGCCCCAGUGAAUGUACCCGACGAAUAAGCAUCGGCUAACUCCGUG